CACGUAGGGCGCGAGCGUUGUCCGGAAUUAUUGGGCGUAAAGAGCUCGUAGGCGGCCUGUUGCGUCCGCUGUGAAAGCCCGGGGCUUAACCCCGGGUCUGCAGUGGGUACGGGCAGGCUAGAGGUAGGUAGGGGAGAAUGGAAUUCCCGGUGUAGCGGUGAAAUGCGCAGAUAUCGGGAGGAACACCGGUGGCGAAGGCGGUUCUCUGGGCCUUACCCGACGCUGAGGAGCGAAAGCGUGGGGAGCGAACAGG
rnacentral:rRNA from 1 species